ACUCUCACAUAUAAACCAGGAUUAGAUACCCUAUUAUAUUUAAACAAAUUGGGUAGUAUUAUUAAUAAAAACCUUUAUACUUUGGCGGCAUUUUAUCUUAUUAGAGGAAUAUGUUCAUUAAUCGAAACCACACGAUAGUUUUUACUUACUAUAAAAUUUUAUAUACCCCCGUCUAAAGAAUUUAUUUAAAAUUUUUAUUCCAAAUUAUAUUAAAAAAAGUUAGGUAAAGGUGUAGACUAUUAGUAAGAUUAAAUGUAUUACAUUAAAAAAAAAUUUAAGGAUAAAACAGUUAACUGUUUAUUAAAAGAGGAUUUAUAAGUAAUUUACUUUUAAUAAAAAUUAAUGAAUAAGAAAAUAAAUGUGCACAUAUCGCCCGUCACUCUCACAUAUAAACCAGGAUUAGAUACCCUAUUAUACAUAUCGCCCGUCACUCUCACAUAUAAACCAGGAUUAGAUACCCUAUUAU
rnacentral:rRNA from 1 species